rnacentral:rRNA from 1 species
UACGUAGGGUGCGAGCGUUAAUCGGAAUUACUGGGCGUAAAGCGUGCGCAGGCGGUGAGCUGUGUCCGAUGUGAAAGCCCCGGGCUUAACCUGGGAAUGGCAUUGGAAACUGGCUCGCUGGAGUGUGGCAGAGGGGGGUGGGAAUUCCGCGUGUAGCAGUGAAAUGCGUAGAGAUGCGGAGGAACACCGAUGGCGAAGGCAGCCCCCCUGGGCUAACACUGACGCUCAGGCACGAAAGCGUGGGGAGCAAACAGG